UUGUUUUUUUGGGCCGUUUGAUCGUCUUCACUAUCACUUCAUCUCACCCAUUUCUGUUUUUCAAACUCCACACUUUUCCUUUCGCUAUUUGCAACCACAUCCAUUUUUUUAACCUUCUUACACACGCCGGUCGUUCUAGAACCUUCCUGAACUUUGUCUCUCUUAUCCUUCAUGGACCACCACCAACCACCACCACUACCACCACCGCAUCCUUGCCAUGCCUGAGCUCCGUUCCCGACAACGCACAACGAACAAUAACAAAGAACUGUUAGGCGCUGCUGAUCCGAACCCGAUUGUUCUGCCGGACCCGCUGGUGGCCGGAGGAGCCAAACCGAGGAAGAGAACAGCUGUCGCUGCACCGAACAGGAGGAAUCGGAGGCAGAAAAACGCGAUCGCCGCUGAAGCCUCGGCCGAUGAAGUCGGAAAAGUUGUGAACGACGUUGCAAUCAAGAAGAACAAGAACAACGCCGGUAGUAUUAGGGUUUUGAGGGAGGAGGACAUGGAUGAUUACGAUAGCGGCGGUCGAAGCGCCGACAAGGCUCCGGGAGCUGAAGAGGAAGGAACCACUGCUCCAGUCCCAGAGAAGGUCCAGGUUGGUGGUUCACCGAUGUACAGGGUUGAAGGAAGACUUGGGAAGGGAGGGUUUGGACAGGUUUAUGUUGGUCGUCGCCUUGGAGCCACUAGCUACGGUGAUCGAACUGGUGCUGGGGCUAUUGAGGUAGCGUUGAAAUUUGAACACAGAAGCAGUAAGGGUUGUAAUUAUGGACCCCCAUAUGAGUGGCAGGUUUACAAUGCAUUAGGUGGCAGUCAUGGUGUUCCCCGAGUUCAUUACAAAGGGCGGCAAGGUGAUUACUAUGUUAUGGUUAUGGAUAUGCUUGGCCCUAGUCUAUGGGAUGUCUGGAAUAACAACUCACACACGAUGUCAACUGAAAUGGUGGCAUGCAUUGCGAUUGAGGCUAUCUCUAUAUUGGAGAAGAUACAUUCGAGAGGGUAUGUUCAUGGUGAUGUAAAGCCUGAGAACUUUUUGCUUGGCCCACCGGGAACGUCAAAUGCAAAGAAGCUGUUUUUAGUUGAUCUUGGAUUAGCAACUCGAUGGCGUGAUAGUUCUACCGGACUUCAUGUUGAGUAUGAUCAGCGUCCAGAUGUAUUUAGGGGUACAGUUCGUUAUGCUAGUGUGCAUGCUCAUCUUGGUAGAACUGGUAGCAGGAGAGAUGACUUAGAAUCUCUUGCUUACACACUUGUGUUCCUUCUUCGUGGUCGGCUUCCUUGGCAAGGAUUUCAGGGAGAAAACAAAGGAUUUCUUGUUUGCAAGAAGAAGAUGGCCACUUCUCCAGAAACUUUAUGUUGCUUUUGUCCUCAACCUUUCCGGCAGUUUGCUGAAUAUGUGGUGAAUUUGAAGUUUGAUGAAGAGCCAAAUUAUGCUAAAUACAUAUCCCUUUUUGAUGGAAUUGUUGGUCCAAAUCCAGCCAUCAGGCCAAUAAACACUGAGGGUGCACAAAAGCUUAUAUGUCAGGUUGGACAAAAACGAGGACGAGUGGCAAUGGAAGAGGAUGAUGAUGAACAACCAAAGAAGAAGGUCAGAAUGGGAAUGCCUGCAACACAGUGGAUUAGUGUUUACAAUGCUCGCCGACCAAUGAAGCAAAGGUACCAUUACAAUGUUGCUGAUGUGCGACUUGCCCAACACAUUGAUAAGGGAAAUGAGGAUGGGUUAUAUAUCAGUUGUGUAGCUUCUUGUUCUAAUCUCUGGGCACUCAUUAUGGAUGCUGGCACUGGUUUCAUUUCUCAAGUUUACGAACUAUCUCCCUAUUUUCUUCACAAGGAAUGGAUUAUGGAACAGUGGGAGAAAAAUUAUUACAUCAGUGCUGUAGCUGGAGCUAAUAAUGGAAGUUCUUUGGUUGUAAUGUCUAAAGGGACCCAUUACUUGCAACAAUCCUAUAAAGUCAGUGAUUCAUUUCCAUUUAAGUGGAUCAACAAAAAGUGGAGAGAAGGAUUUUAUGUCACUGCUAUGGCUACUGCUGGCAGUAAAUGGGCAAUUGUAAUGUCCCGUGGUGCUGGAUUUUCAGAUCAGGUUGUGGAGCUUGAUUUCCUGUAUCCUAGUGAAGGGAUUCACCAUAGGUGGGAUGGUGGUUACCGAAUCACCUCAACUGCUGCAACAUGGGACCAAGCUGCUUUUAUUCUUAGUGUCCCAAGAAGAAAACCAUCUGAUGAAACUCAAGAGACGCUACGCACAUCUGCUUUUCCCAGUACUCAUGUCAAGGAAAAAUGGGCAAAGAACCUGUACAUUGCGGCUGUUUGUUAUGGAAGAACAGUUUCAUGAAGUGCUGAAGAUUUGUUUGAGAUUCCAGCUGGUAUCAUUUUGACAUCUUGUUCUUAUGUCUGCCACUUGGAAGUGAAGAUCAUCUCACAAAUUUUGCUGAACAGUGAAGUUUGGCAUGGAUUAUCCAAAGUUGGCAUUGGCUUCCUCUGGUCAGUCAUUGUGUGACUGUGCUUCUGCUUGAUUCUUUGUGCAUCAAACAUUGAAAGAUGCAAAUUGUAUCUGAAUAUGAGAAGUCGGCUAAUUGGAAGCUCAUCUUUGGUGAAUAACUUGUUUGUACCACUUGAUUGAUUUGUGUAUGAAUGAGAUUUCUUGGCGAUUGUAAGCAGUUUGCUGUUAAUCUAAGGUUUUCUGGAUGGUUCAAUAACCUGAGGCUGGUGAAACUUGUGGAUUUAUAAUUGUCCGUAGAAAAUGAAUAUGUUGCUGGAAAAAAUCCUUAAAUGGAAACUUGAAGUGCUCAAGGGUGUGAAGAUUCAGGAACUAUUUACUGCAUGUGAUUCUUUACCUUUGGAAAGACAAGGUUAAAGUGCAUCGUAUGCAUGAUCUUUGAAACCAUUGUUCCAUUGAAGUAUUUAUACUGGAGAGAUCUGGGGAAUCCAGUUACGCUGCCUUAGCUGGUAUUUGAAAGUUCAUAUUGCAAAUUCCAUAUUUGGUUUUCUAUUUGCACAGUUUGAAACCAUGGUUUGAACACGAAAUUAUUCUAGAUUUCAACCAAACUAUCAUCUGAGUUACGAGGGAGUCAAAAUAUUUACCUUCUAUGAUUUCUAUACUGAUGUAUUGGACUCUGGAAUAACCAACUCCGUGGUGAGCUAUAUUUGAGGAAAUGCAACAAAUUUGUAAUAUUCUAAACCGGCUCAACAUAUUCUUUAGUCUCUGGUAUAGAAGGACGCAACUGCUAUCAUCCCUUUUCAAAAUUCAACUUUUCCAAAUUUUCCUAAAAAAUUUGUGCAGUACAAAAUAACCCAGUGCAAAAUAUAGAAUCUAAAUCAAGUAACUUUAGCACUUACCCCUCAGACAUUAUGGAACACUGAAAUUGUUAAAAUUAGAUUAACUGCAAUAAUACUGCAAUAGGUUCAGGCGUAAUCUAACGAGGCAAGUCCAUACUAUAUAUUAUAAUUCCCAGGCUGGCACCAAAUUUAUACAGGCAUUAUUAUAACAGGUAACAAAUGAAGGAAAAGAAUCCAUACAAGUUUCAUAUUUCCUUCACUGCUUCGAUACUUAGUCACUUUCAGUCUUUAUUUAAGUGAAUAUCAUCCAAAUGUC